rnacentral:rRNA from 1 species
UACGUAGGGGGCAAGCGUUGUCCGGAAUUAUUGGGCGUAAAGCGCGCGCAGGCGGUUCUUUAAGUCUGAUGUGAAAGCCCACGGCUCAACCGUGGAGGGUCAUUGGAAACUGGAGGACUUGAGUGCAGGAGAGGAAAGUGGAAUUCCACGUGUAGCGGUGAAAUGCGUAGAGAUGUGGAGGAACACCAGUGGCGAAGGCGACUUUCUGGCCUGUAACUGACGCUGAGGCGCGAAAGCGUGGGGAGCAAACAGG